AAUGUUGGUAACACAGGGACGCACCUCACAGUUAUUGCUCCGAUCAGUCAAGCGGUCUUCUGUUCCAUACUGAAGCAGGAGCGGAGGAGCACGAACUAGGAAAAGCAGAUCUGCAUAGAGUUGGGGAGAUGGAUGCUCUCAGAAAACAAGCCAGCAAAAUCAGAGAACAGGUUGCCAAGCAACAGCAUGCUGUCAUAAAGCAGUUUACUGUGAGCGGAUAUGAAAGCUCUGAUGUAAUGGUCACAGAUGAGAUUGAGUUGCAGAGACAUCAACAACUUGAGAAACUUUAUAAGUCUACCCGCACUGGCAGGGACUUUCAAAGAGAAAUUGUUCGAGCUACUGAAGCCAUUACAUCUGUUGGAUGUAAGAGAAUUGAAAUAGAAUCGAAGAUGUCAGAAGAAUGUACCAGGUAUGGGGUUGAGGGAACUGAUGAUGCAUUACUUGCAAAGGCUGCCUCCUUAUAUGGUGAAGCUUGCACUAAUAUAGUAAGGGAAACAGAAGAAUUGAAUAGAGUAUUUUCAUUGGAGGUUAUGGAACCCCUAAAAGCGAUGGCCAAUGGAGCUCCUUUGGAGGAUGCUCGCCACCUUGCCCAACGUUAUAGUCGAAUGAGACAUGAUGCUGAAUUGCAGGCUGCUGAAGUUUCAAGGCGGCAAGCAAGAGUUAGAGAGACUCACAGUACAGAGAAUGCUGUGAAGUUACAAGCAUCUGAAGCUAAGAUGCAAGAAAUUAAAGCCAACAUGGCAGUAUUAGGAAAGGAAGCUACGGCAGCACUUGCUGCAGUUGAAGCUCAGCAACAGAGAUUGACACACCAGCGUCUACUUGCAUUGGUUAAUGCAGAAAAAAAUUAUCAUCGUCGACUAGCUGUACUUCUUGAUGAGGCAGAAGCAGAGAUGGUAUCAGAAAAGCAGCGUAAAGAAUCUGCUCCUCCAAUUUUUCCAUCGGAAAGCUGUUCAGAGAAGGCACUGUAUUUCUGGGCAGAAUAUUUUCAGGCCACACAUGCCUUUAUUGCUGAGUCAGAUAAGGAGCUUAGCUUGGAUAUUGGUGAUUAUGUUGUUGUUAGACAGGUCAGCCCAUCGGGAUGGUCAGAAGGGGAAUGCAGAGGCAGAGCAGGCUGGUUUCCAUCUGCUUAUGUUGAGAAACGUCAGGGAAUCCCAGUAAAUUAAGCAGCUGCAAACUGUUCUAGCUUAUGCAAUCUGGUUUGAAGGAUUUCGCCAUGCAAUACGGUGCUGUGUGAUAUCUGAUUAGCAGUACCUAGUUCCUUGAGUCUAAAGAUGAGCAAAUAGCGGAGCUCUCUCUUCAAAGCACUCGUGCCGCUUUGCCUAACAUCAUGAGCACUGAAGAGCAAGUCAAUUUGCUAGGUAGCAAGACCGAGCAGAGCAUGCCAUAGCAAGAACGAGUUUUUCCUUUUGGGCAAGACGAGAAAAGAAGACAACCUCUCUUACAGGCUCGAAUAGAGGCCAGUCUUUUUUAUUGAUAUCAGGUUGACAGACACCAGAGAAAAGAGCGGUCAUAUACAACUAAGAGACAAUUAGAAAGAAGAUAAUAGCUCCCACUGGAUCUUCAACGAGGUGAAGAUAAUAGUUUUAUGUACAUGUUCCUGCACCGUUCCUCCUUAGAGUGAAGCAUGCGCAUGAGCACGUAUGGAUGAAGUGGAGGUGAGAAUUUUGAGUUGGUGCAGGAGCUCGGGCUCUGCCUUUGUAUGGAGGAAAUUGGAGCUCUUUCUUCAACCCUAAAUCGAUCUUUCACUUGCAAAUGCAGGUUCAAAUGACUUUUUCUUCUUCAAAGUACAAAAACUCCACUUCACUCAACUCCUAAGAGUAUAUCAUAUUGUAUGUAUAUAUGGUAACUGUUAGAAAAAAACUAAGAAUUACAUCUUUGUUUUAGAUGUGGAAGCAUAUCUCACUUGUGUGAGAUAUACAACAAUAAUUGAACCA